UACAGAGGUCCCAAGCGUUGUUCGGAUUCACUGGGCGUAAAGGGUGCGUAGGUGGUGGGGUAAGUUUGAUGUGAAAUCUCCGAGCUUAACUCGGAAAUGGCAUUGAAUACUAUUCCGCUAGAGGUUUGGAGGGGGAUCUGGAAUUCCUGGUGUAGCGGUGGAAUGCGCAGAUAUCAGGAGGAACACCGGUGGCGAAGGCGGGAUCCUGGGCCAGUACGUGAC
rnacentral:rRNA from 1 species